rnacentral:lncRNA from 1 species
GGGUUCAAUGGAGGGAUAGGUUAGAUCAUGGUCAAGUCCUUGAAGGAGACAGACAAGAUGGAUUAAGAUAAAUCAGAUGGAUCAUUAGACUUGAUGUGGAUCACUUAGACCAUUAUGGAUAUGCAGGAAGAUCACUAAACUCAAUGUGGAUCAUUUUCACUACUAAUGAGAAAUAGAUAUGGAUCGCAUCGGCCACUAUGAGUAAAGCUAAAUAGAAUCUAAG